ACCAGAGUUUGGUAGGUUUGUACCCAUCUGUAAGCCAGAAUCCCUGAAUCUCCUUCAUACGCAACUGCAUGGUCUUGUGGAGGCGAGACGUCUGGGGGGAAUGAACGGUAACUCCAAGAGCCUGUGUGGGGGUGUCUGUGCAAGGAGGAGCUUGGAAAGUGCUAGAAGUUGUGUGCAGCCUCUUGGGAAGCCCUCCCUCUGAAGAGUUGUGUUGCUGUGGGAAGGAAGCAGCGUGUUGGAAGAGGGCCUUAACGCAGCCGCCUUUCCCAAGAGUUCGGGGAGUCAUUCUGAUGAGCCAUCAGCAGGAACUGAGGUGAGGGAAAAGUGGUUUGUAGUUUAAGUACCUCCAAACUCGACUUCCCAACGUUACCCCUCCACUUAAUUACAGUCCUCUAAGCUGAUUGUCCUUUGUCAGUUUGACACACAGACGUUCCCAGGUGUCUGACUGUUGGCGCGCAUCGGCUCAGAGAAGGGGAGGGGGCGCUACCGCCGGUGCACAGAGUAGACGUGCUUCUGGGUCCUGUGAGAAAGCCUGGUUUGCCACCAAAUGCCCGGCUCGGAGAUGGUCCCACACCUUCUCUCGGAGCUGGGCGUAAGGUCCCGAGAGAUAACAACCUUUGAACUCACACGCAACC
rnacentral:lncRNA from 1 species